GAUACCCGCUGAACUUAAGCAUAUCAAUAAGCGGAGGAAAAGAAACCAACAGGGAUUGCCCCAGUAACGGCGAGUGAAGCGGCAAGAGCUCAAAUUUGAAAUCUGGCCCCGUCGGGGUCCGAGUUGUAAUUUGCAGAGGAUGCUUCGGGUGCGGCCCCCGUCUAAGUGCCCUGGAACGGGCCGUCAUAGAGGGUGAGAAUCCCGUCUGGGACGGGUGGCCGCGUCCGUGUGAAGCUCCUUCGACGAGUCGAGUUGUUUGGGAAUGCAGCUCUAAAUGGGUGGUAAAUUUCAUCUAAAGCUAAAUACUGGCCGGAGACCGAUAGCGCACAAGUAGAGUGAUCGAAAGAUGAAAAGCACUUUGAAAAGAGAGUUAAAUAGCACGUGAAAUUGUUGAAAGGGAAGCGCUUGCGACCAGACUCGCCCGCGGGGGCUCAGCCGGCACUCGUGCCGGUGCACUCCCCCGUGGGCGGGCCAGCGUCGGUUUGGGCGGUCGGUCAAAGGCCCCCGGAAUGUGUCGCCCUUCGGGGCGUCUUAUAGCCGGGGGUGCAAUGCGGCCAGCCCGGACCGAGGAACGCGCUUCGGCACGGACGCUGGCGUAAUGGUCGUAAGCGACC
rnacentral:rRNA from 1 species